rnacentral:lncRNA from 1 species
CGUUGGAAUCCUCUUUCCUUGUUCUUUCUAUUGAUGACCUCUUCUUCUGCAAAAUAUAAUAAGAAGUAUCAAUUUCCUAAUAAAGUUAGAUAAUUUAGAUAUUUAUUGAUACUUUUUAUGUCAAUUUGUGACAUAAAUCAAAUACCUCGUGUUACAUGAGUUUUGGCUGUGUUAAACUUCUCAAAUUCACAUCCCAAAUGUGUCCCAAGCGAGAACAAGUCUUUUGACUAUCGGAUCUUGAUCAAACACCCC